GGGGAUUUAGCUCAGCGGCAUAAGUACCUGCUUUGCAAGCAGGUGGUCGUGAGUUCGAUCCCCA
rnacentral:tRNA from 1 species